rnacentral:rRNA from 1 species
AUACGUAGGGAGCGAGCGUUGUCCGGAAUCACUGGGCGUAAAGGGCGCGUAGGCGGCGCUUCAAGUCGUCUGUCAAAUGGAAGGGCUUAACCCUUUUUCGCAGACGAAACUGGAGAGCUUGAGAAGCAGAGAGGCAAACAGAAUUCCUGGUGUAGCGGUGAAAUGCGUAGAUAUCAGGAAGAAUACCAGUGGCGAAGGCGGUUUGCUGGCUGCAUACUGACGCUGAAGCGCGAAAGCCAGGGGAGCGAACGGGAUUAGAUACCCCGGUAGUCCUGGCAGUAAACGAUGUAUGCUGGGUGUGAGACUAGCGAUAGUUUCGUGCCGAAGUUAACGCGAUAAGCAUACCGCCUGGGGAGUACGGUCGCAAGAUUGAAACUCAAAUGAAUUGACGGGG